rnacentral:lncRNA from 1 species
GAAUGGCCCUGAGUGGGACUCGGCCCAGAAGCCGAGGGACUCUCUAGGCUGCCGGGCGCUGGUCGUCAGCGCCGAGGCUGGGCUGAGGCGCCGCGGUACCAUGAGGCGCCGGUACUUAAGAGAUUAUGGCAUCAGAAACCCACAAUGUUAAAAAACGGAACUUUUGUAAUAAGAUUGAGGAUCAUUUCAUUGAUCUUCCUAGAAAAAAGAUCUCUAAUUUCACUAAUAAGAACAUGAAGGAGGUUAAGAAAUCUCCAAAACAGUUGGCUGCUUACAUAAAUAGAACAGUUGGACAAACUGUGAAAAGCCCAGAUAAACUUCGUAAAGUGAUCUAUCGCAGAAAGAAAGUUCAUCAUCCCUUUCCAAAUCCUUGUUACAGAAAAAAACAGUCCCCUGGAAGUGGGGGCUGUGACAUGGCAAAUAAAGAAAAUGAACUGGCUUGUGCAGGCCACCUGCCUGAAAAAUUACACCAUGAUAGUCGAACAUAUUUGGUUAACUCCAGUGAUUCUGGUUCUUCACAGACAGAAAGCCCAUCAUCAAAAUAUAGUGGGUUUUUUUCUGAGGUUUCUCAGGACCAUGAAACAAUGGCCCAAGUUUUGUUCAGCAGGAAUAUGAGAUUGAAUGUAGCUUUAACUUUCUGGAGAAAGAGAAGUAUAAGUGAACUUGUAGCUUAUUUGUUGAGGUAAGUGUGACCUUUUAUCCUCUUUGUUCAAUCACUUUUUUUCUGAGACAAGUUCUUGCUUUGUCAUCCAAGUUGGAGUACAGUGGCACAAUCAUGGCUCACUGCAGCCUCAACCUGCUGAGUUCAAGCAGCCCUCCCACCUCAGCCUCCUGAGUAGCUGAGAGUACAGGUGCACAUCACCACACCUGGCUAUUUUUUAAAAAAAUUUUUUGGAAGACAUGAGGUCUUAUGUUUCCCGGGCU